AACGAACGCUGGCGGCAGGCUUAACACAUGCAAGUCGAGCGCCCCGCAAGGGGAGCGGCAGACGGGUGAGUAACACGUGGGAAUCUACCCAUCUCUACGGAAUAACGCAUGGAAACGUGUGCUAAUACCGUAUACGUCCUUCGGGAGAAAGAUUUAUCGGAGAUGGAUGAGCCCGCGUUGGAUUAGCUAGUUGGUGGGGUAAAGGCCUACCAAGGCGACGAUCCAUAGCUGGUCUGAGAGGAUGAUCAGCCAUACUGGGACUGAGACACGGCCCAGACUCCUACGGGAGGCAGCAGUGGGGAAUAUUGGACAAUGGGCGCAAGCCUGAUCCAGCCAUGCCGCGUGAGUGAUGAAGGCCCUAGGGUUGUAAAGCUCUUUCACCGGUGAAGAUAAUGACGGUAACCGGAGAAGAAGCCCCGGCUAACUUCGUGCCAGCAGCCGCCGUAACAC
rnacentral:rRNA from 1 species